rnacentral:pre_miRNA from 1 species
AAAGUACUCCCUCCAUCCCAAAAUUCUUGUCUUAGAUUUGUCUAGAUACAGAUGUAUCAAGUCACAUUUUAGUAUUAGAUACAUCCGUAUCUAGACAAAUCUAAGAUAAGAAAUUUGGGACAGAGGGAGUAGUUG